AAUAAAGGACGCGUGCAAGGACUAGAAAAACACAGUAGCACGUUUGCUAAGAUUGCUGAUACAUAAAGGCAGUGAUAAGUGUUUGCACCAAGAGGAGCACGUCCGUGUCGGAGGAUUCGGGGCAUCUUCCACUUCAGCGUCCAGGAAGAAGUGGUACGCCAUGGGUCACCUUGGGAGCUACGUUUUUGCUUUGCUGUUGAUCAGUGCAAGCUGGCUGGCGUUAGAUGCCCAGUCAUAUGUGUAUCAUUUCAACUGCAAUAAUCCGCAAGGUCUCUACUACAUCAGCAACCCAGUUUGGACCUCGACAGCGUCAUGUACUGGGACAAAUCUUCUUUUACCAGAUUCAGAAGCAAGUUCAACCUGCGUGCAGAAUUACAUUGCUCAUAUUAACUCUCAACUCGGUACCAUGAGUACAGUAUAUACAGAUUUGAAUGGAGCAGUGUCAUGCUACCCAAGGGUGGAUCCAUGCCCUUCCACAGGAACGAUUGUCAUGUGCCGCAAUACCAUACCUUCCG